rnacentral:lncRNA from 10 species
GCAAGACUGAGUGACCCUGUCUCUAAAACAAAAAAGGACUGUCGUUGACGGUGUUGCUUGGGACACUACCCGUCAUCCCUUCAAAGGUCCCACGAGAAUUCCUCUCAGACUUUAGUGUCAGAAAUAGCUGCGCUGCUUCUAGGUUGAGUGUUUUAUUUUGCUUUUUAAUUGAGUCAGAAUCCUACUCCGUUCUCGGAAAAGAAAAAAAAAAAUCAAUUAAAAAAAAUAGCAUGACCUCAUUGCAAACAAAGCUUCUGGUAAAAAGUUGAAAACAACUGAGCUACUGCCUAAUUUUAAAGAUGGAGAAACUGAAGCCAAUUGGAGCGAGAAAAUAACUGGCCCAAGGCUACCCAGCAAAUCUUUUUUAAAAAAUUUAUUUAUUGGCUGGCUGCGGUGGCUCAUGGCUGUAAUCCCAGCCCUUUGGGAGGCCGAGGUGUGUGGAUCAUGAGGUCAGGCGUUCGAGACCAGCCUGGCCAAGAUAGUGAAACCCCGUCUCUACUAAAAUUACAAAAAAUUAGCUGGGCCUGGUGGUGGGCGCCUAUAAUCCCAGCUACUCGGGAGGCUGAGGCAGGAGAAUUGCUUGAACCUGGGAGGCGGAGGUUACAGUGAGCUGAGAUCGUGACACUGCACUCCAGCCCAGGCGACAGUGCGAGAUUCCAUCUCAAAAAAAAAAAAUUAUUUUUUGGUAGACAUGUUGUCUCGCUGUUACCCAAGUUGAUCUCAAACUCUUGGUCUCAAGGGAUCCUCCUGCCUCAGCCUCCCAAAGUGCUAGGAUUACAGGUGUGAGCCACGGCGCCUGGCUCCCAGCAAAUCUUAACAGAGCUCUGUGGCCUGGCUGGUUCUGCGUGUUCAUCUCAUCCUUGUCUCCUGGGUCCACUGAACCCCCAGCCAGAAGGUAUGCUCCUUAAAGCUGUGAAUCAAGCCAGGUCCCCGGGUCUUCUUGAAUGCUCAGAGCUUUUCCAUCAAUGGUCAAGAAACAGAUUCUGGGGCUCGGGGCGGCUGGUUUCUCUGGGCCCCUAGGGAGUCCCUGGUUAGUCGGUGUAGGUACAGUCAUUUCUCUCUCUUGGGAGGUUGCACUGUGUCUGGGAGGCACAGCCCCUUCUCAUCUGCCUGGUCCUCGCCUGAACAGUACCUUCCUCUCCCCAGUCAUCCCUGAGCUAGACUGUAGCCCCUAGGGACCCGUCUCCCAAUGGGCCCCAGCUCUCCUCCCUCUCUCUUCUUCCCUUGGGGCAGCCAGAAGUCCCCGCUCAUAACUCCCACACGAAUGAGCCUGUCUAGGGACAGAGGGAGGGACCUGAGUGACAUUUUAAUUAUGCCUCUAAUUGCUUUCCAGGGAGAUGAGUGGGGAACUCACAUUUCUCUGUGGGUGCUCAGGGGAGAGUGCAGGGUUUCCACCAGGAACUCAGCCACAUUGAGAUCCCCAAGAUUUCCCCAGAUUUCCUGAGAGCAAGCGGGGGCUUCAACAAGCAGUGAGCCAGCCCUACGCAGACCAGGGCUCCCUUCUGAAGCUGUCCAGAAAGAGGGGAACAUGAUUCAAGGGAAGGAGGUGGUAGGGCAGGGGCAGGGCAGUGGGUUCAGGGGCCACUAGACCCUCACCCCCUGACUUUAUAUCCCGAGGUUUUGAUGUGCCCAGGAGUGGUGGGGUGAGAAGGGCAGGAGUUUUGAAUGAAUUCUGGGCAUUAGAGAAGGCGGCCUCGAGGCUUAUCUGAUCAUCUUUCUCCAUCUGGAAAAUGGGGAUGUGGAGCUUCUAUCUCCCUGAGAAGUGAGGUUGAACUGAGGACCUGCCACUUGUAAGCUGAUUUUCCAGGCUUAACGGUAAAAGGGGAAAGAGGAGGUGGUAGCCCCGCUCCCAGCAUCAUGCAGAAACUGCCUUCAGGGCCAGCCACUUUCUGGUGGUGACAGUUCCGUGCACCAGGACACCAGGGGGCUGGGGAGAACACAGUCACUCUCAUCCUAAUCACAACUGUAUAAAAAGCCCAUGUCGACCGGCACGGUGGCUCACACCUGUAAUCCCAGCAUUUUGGGAAGCCAAGGUGGGCGGAUCACUUGAGGUCAGGAGUUGGAGACCAACCUGGCCAACAUGGUGAAACCCAGUAUCUACUAAAAAUACAAAAAUUAGCUGGGUGUAGUGGCGCACGCCUGUAAUCCUAGCUAGUUGGGAGGCUGAGGCAGGAGAAUCGCUUGCACCUAGGAAGCGGAGGUUGCAGUGAGCUGAGAUCACACCCCUGCACUCCAACCUGGGCGACAGAGUGAGACUCCAUCUCAAAAAAAACAAAACAACAACAACAAAAAAAAAAAACAAAAAAAAACAAAAAACCAACCCCCUCCCCCACAAAAAGCCCAUGUCACUGUUUCUGUGCCUCAACCCUCUAAGAGUGGCAGGAUACCCAUUUUACAGAGCAGGAGAGGGAGGCACAGAACAGCUAAGCGACCAAGUGCCAAGGGCUUCCAAGAGAUGGCAGUUAGGGACACCUGAGUCCCCAGACUCUGAAGGGGCCUGCCCAGGCAGACAGCAUCGCAGGAAGGGCGGGUCCUCACGGACAGAGAGACAGAAGCCACCUCAGGCCCCCCUGGACAGCUCUAGGACCUGGGUCCAGACCCCACCCCCAUCCUGAAAUAGCCCUCCCAAAAAGCAGAGACAGACACCAGGCGUGCUUUAGGGCUUUUUUUUUAAUGUUUCCUCACUGUUUUGACAAUAUCAUGAAAAAAAUCAGUUUAGAAUCUGG